GCCGCCGUGCGCUAAUGGUCAGGCGACCUGGCCCUCAACCAGGCGAUCUGGGUUCGACUCCCAGCGGCGGUACCA
rnacentral:tRNA from 1 species